rnacentral:rRNA from 1 species
AAUCAAUAGUCUCUUAAUUGGAGGCCGGAAUGAAUGGUUGGACAAAGAGUUAACUGUCUUUUAAAUAAGUGCUUGAAUUUUACUUUUAAGUGAAAAGGCUUAAAUUUAUUAAGGGGACGAUAAGACCCUAUAAAACUUUACAUAUUUAAGUAUGUAUUUUUUGAAUUGAAGUAUAAUAAUAACUACUACUUGUCUGUUAUGUUGGGGCGAUAGAGAUAAAAUAAGUAACUGUCAUUUUUAUUAAAUAGAAAUAUUUAGUUUAGUUGAUCCUUUAUUAAAGAUUAUAAGAUAAAGUUACUUUAGGGAUAACAGCGUAAUUUUCUUUGAGAGUCCAUAUCGACAAGAAUAGUUGCGACCUCGAUGUUGAAUUAAGGUUUCCUUUAAAUGUAGCAGUUUGGGGGGUGGGUCUGUUCGACCCUUAAAGCCUU